UGGCGGUAUAAUUAACACUCUGUUUUACUCACCGUGGUCACCGUGUCUAGACUUAACUGGCAGACACAGUUCAGUGGAACGGGAGGACUCGACAAACACGACUUCAGGCGCCUGUGGGAGAAGCUGAUGCUUUUUAAGGAACUCUUCCACAAGAGUGACCUGGAUGGAAUGGGACGGCUGAAUCCAGGCCAACUCUCCGAGAGGCUGCAGGAAGUAGGAUUUACAGUGACUAACUCUGCUCUCAGUCUCAUGACUCUGAGGUACGGUGACUCAUCAGGAAGGAUCACUUUGGACAGUUUCAUCAACUGCUUCCUCCGUGUGGAGUUUACAACCA